rnacentral:rRNA from 1 species
AUGCCUCUGAUCGCGUUCUGCUGGCGCCGCCGAGCAGAGCCGAGAUCCGGAGGAAGGACGGCAAGGGGCAGCUAUCUAAAUUCAAUCAAGGAAUCAAGAAGUCCAGGACCAAGCCGGCAACAAUAUACGAUCGAACCCUACUCCAAGGCCACUACUGUGACGUGGCGUAACGGCGAGGCGGACGGCGCCGUUACUCACUACCUGGUCAAACCGACGCGGUCGGCUCGCCCGACCGCACCAGCCCCGCACUCUCUCUCCCGCACUCUCUCGCUCCCUCGUGCUCCUUUUCCUCUCCGGCAGUCGCGGGCCGCCAUGGUGUCCUGGAGCGAGAGCGAAAGCACUGAUGGCUCCGCCGCGCAGUACAACCUCACUCCCAACUCCCCUCUGAAGAUCCCAGCUACGAUUGAUGACCCGUUGUUCGAGGGUGCUGCUGACGAUUUGAUGGUGAUGUGCGAGCAUGGGAAUCCAGGGAGGAAAUGUGUUGCAUUCAAGGGGAUAAGCACUGGGAUGAGGUUCAUUGCCUGUGCCACUGAAGGUGCUAAUAAUUGUGGAUUAGUGCAGUGGGUAGAUGAGGAGUGGCCAGAUCAUCUGCAGAAUGCUCUUCACAAGCUGUGGCUUAUGUAUGAGCGUAGCCAGCAUGACAAUAGGAUGGCAUGCCUGGAUCAUUCAUCUAUUGUACACAUACUCACACGGCAAAAAAAAGAUCUGCAAGAGACAUAUGAGAAGCUUGUUGAAGAUGUUAACAACCUCCUAGAUUCACAGGAUAACCUGCCUGAGGUAAAUCAGAUGAAUGAUGCUGCUGAGAACAUUACAAUCAGUGUGGACAGCAGCUUUGCAAAGGAUGAGGAGAUCAAAAAAUGGAAGGCUGCUCAUGACCAGUUAAAGUUAAUUCAUGUAGCUCAAGCCACUGUGAUUAGGAAUUUGAAGUUCAAGCAUCUCAAAGAGAAGGAAAAGAUGAGCUCUGAUAAGAGGACUUUGGAGAUUUGCUAUGCUGACCUGAAGAAGGAGAAGGAUGACCUGAAGAAAGAGAAGGAUCGGGUGGAUAGUUGCAUUGCUGAGCUGAUGAAAGAGAAGGAGAAGUUGACCAUGGAGAAGAGUACUCUUGCUUCCUGCAUUGUUGAGCUCAAGACAGCAGUACCUGCUGGUCUUGGAGGGAUGAAGUUUUUCUUUUGCCUAGCAGCAGCAGCAGUAGUAGAGGUACUUGGCCCAGCAGCUGUAGAGGAACUGGGCCCAGUAGAAGAUGCACUAGUAGUAGCUGCCCUUGGAGCUCUCCUGGAUGCAGCUGGAGCUGAUGGAGCCUUGCUUACAGCUGGUGUAGCUCUUGUGGGUGCCCUUGGAGCAGGAGGAGCUGAUGGAGCUGCCCUUGGAACAAGCAAUUAG